rnacentral:rRNA from 1 species
UACAGAGGUCUCAAGCGUUGUUCGGAUUCAUUGGGCGUAAAGGGUGCGUAGGUGGCGAGGCAAGUCAGAUGUGAAAUCCCGGGGCUCAACCCCGGAGCUGCAUUUGAAACUGCCUUGCUCGAGUACUGGAGAGGAGACUGGAAUUUACGGUGUAGCAGUGAAAUGCGUAGAUAUCGUAAGGAAGACCAGUGGCGAAGGCGAGUCUCUGGACAGUUCCUGACACUGAGGCACGAAGGCCAGGGGAGCAAACGGG